rnacentral:lncRNA from 1 species
CUCUCAUAACAACAACAGCCUCCUGCAGCUCUGAACUUCUGUGGUGUCUUUAUCGUAUGCACAGGCUUUCCCCAGUCCCCCAUUCCUGGCUGACACGACCAAGGAAUCAGUAAGGAUC